GAUGAGAACGAAGUGACACUGAAGUUUGAAGUUGGGUGACAUGCUGGCCUUGCCUCUGCAGCUGCUGUGCUCUGCUCCGGAAGUCCUGGGCUUUCCUUCCCACACCCUCACGCAGACUGAGAGCUGGAAGCUGGUAGCUACUCUGCCAUCAUCCUAUCUUACGGAAGGUGCUGAUUUUCUGAGACCAGAGGAAUACACAGUUGACUGUUCCCCUACCUGCUCCUUUUCUCUGGCAACAUGUGGAUUAGCGUACCCUCCCUCUUUCCCCUUCAGCCUGCUGUUCCCCUUUAAAUACUGAAGCCCUUAAAUUCAUCUUUGGAGAACGGCACAGACCACAGACUGUUUUGUGAUUACUUGUUCUUUUCUUCCAGGCAUACCCUUAACCUUGGCAAAAUAAACUUCUAAAUUAAUUGAGA